rnacentral:rRNA from 1 species
UACGAAGGGGACUAGCGUUGUUCGGAUUUACUGGGCGUAAAGCGCGCGUAGGCGGAUCGCUAAGUCAGGGGUGAAAUCCCAGGGCUCAACCCUGGAACUGCCUUUGAUACUGACGAUCUGGAGAUCGGGAGAGGUUGGUGGAAUUCCGAGUGUAGAGGUGAAAUUCGUAGAUAUUCGGAGGAACACCAGAAGCGAAGGCGGCCAACUGGCCCGAU